rnacentral:rRNA from 1 species
UACAGAGACUGCAAGCGUUAUUCGGAUUCACUGGGCGUAAAGGGUGCGCAGGUGGCCAAGUGUGUUAGGCGUGAAAGCCCGGGGCUCAACCCUGGAAUUGCCUUUGAUACUGGCUAUCUUGAGUUCGGGAGAGGUGAGUGGAAUGCCGAGUGUAGAGGUGAAAUUCGUAGAUAUUCGGCGGAACACCAGUGGCGAAGGCGACUCACUGGCCCGAUACUGACGCUGAGGCGCGAAAGCGUGGGGACCAAACAGG